rnacentral:rRNA from 1 species
ACUCCGUGCCAGCAGCCGCGGUAAUACGAAAGGGGCUAGCGUUGUUCGGAAUUACUGGGCGUAAAGCGUGCGCAGGCGGACAUGUAGGUGUCCUGUGAAAUCCCUCGGCUCAACCGGGGAACUGCAGGGCAAACCCCAUGUCUUGAGGCAGGUAGGGGUCGAUGGAACUGUCGGUGGAGCGGUGAAAUGCGUAGAUAUCGACAGGAACGCCAGUGGCGAAGGCGAUCGACUGGGCCUGUCCUGACGCUCAGGCACGAAAGCGUGGGGAGCAAACAGGAUUAGAUACCCUGGUAGUCCACGCCGUAAACGAUGUGCACUAGGUCGGAGCGGUUUUGACGCCUUUCCGGCCGACGUAAAAACAUUAAGUGCACCGCCUGGGGAGUACGGUCGCAAGGCUAAAACUCAAAGGAAUUGACGGGGGCUCACACAAGCGGUGGAGCAUGUUGCUUAAUUCGAGGCAACGCGAAGAACCUUACCUGGGUUUGACAUGCACGGAUUAGCUCGGUGAAAGUCGAGUGACGCCCUCGGGUGGAACGUGCACAGGUGCUGCAUGGCUGUCGUCAGCUCGUGCUGUGAAGUGUCGGGUUAAGUCCCUUAACGAGCGCAACCCCUAUCGCUAGUUGCCAGCACGUCAUGGUGGGGACUCUAGCGAGACUGCCGGUGUUAAACCGGAGGAAGGUGGGGAUGACGUCAAGUCCUCAUGGCCCUUAUGUCCAGGGAUGCAAACGUGCUACAAUGGCGUGGACAGAGCGACGCAAUGCCGCGAGGUGGAGCAAAUCGCAAAAACCACGCCCCAGUUCGGAUUGCAGGCUGCAACUCGCCUGCAUGAAGCCGGAAUCGCUAGUAAUCGCGUAUCAGCUACGACGCGGUGAAUACGUUCCUGAGCCUUGUACACACCGCCCGUCAAGUCAUGGAAGCCGGGAGCGCCCGAAGUCACCUCGAUUCAGGGGUGCCUACGGCGAGUUCGGUGACUGGGACUAAGUCGUAACAAGGUAG